GAUGAACGCUAGCGGCAGGCCUAACACAUGCAAGACGAGGGGUAGAGGAAGCUUGCUUCCUUGAGACCGGCGCACGGGUGCGUAACGCGUAUGCAAUCUACCUUUUUCAGAGGGAUAGCCCAGAGAAAUUUGGAUUAAUACCUCAUAGUAUCUUCGAAUGGCAUCAUUUGAUUAUUAAAGUUCCAACGGUAAAAGAUGAGCAUGCGUCCUAUUAGCUAGAUGGUAAGGUAACGGCUUACCAUGGCAACGAUAGGUAGGGGUCCUGAGAGGGAGAUCCCCCACACUGGUACUGAGACACGGACCAGACUCCUACGGGAGGCAGCAGUGAGGAAUAUUGGACAAUGGGCGCAAGCCUGAUCCAGCCAUGCCGCGUGCAGGAAGACGCAUCUAUGGUGUGUAAACUGCUUUUGUACGGGAAGAAACACUCCCUCGUGAGGGAGCUUGACGGUACCGUAAGAAUAAGGAUCGGCUAACUCCGUGCCAGCAGCCGCGGUAAAAC
rnacentral:rRNA from 1 species